rnacentral:sRNA from 1 species
AUGAGGCUGAUCUGGCUGCUGCACCUGUGAUCCCAUCCAUUGUCACAGCUGAGCUGGCUGAUCUGAAGGGCUUAGCUGGUGUCCCUUUCAUCUGGUCCUAACUGAGCUGUGGGCAGCCCCCCAGAGGCAUGUCCUUGGUCAGAGAUGAUGCCCUUCCCAGAGAAGAGGAGCUUUGGUCAAAGGCAUAUAGACACUGUAUAAUGUCUGACAAUUAAGUUCACCAGCUCAUCCUAGAACAGUGGUCUCAA